rnacentral:rRNA from 1 species
AUUGAACGCUGGCGGCAGGCCUAACACAUGCAAGUCGAGCGGAUGAAGGGAGCUUGCUCCUGGAUUCAGCGGCGGACGGGUGAGUAAUGCCUAGGAAUCUGCCUGGUAGUGGGGGAUAACGUCCGGAAACGGGCGCUAAUACCGCAUACGUCCUGAGGGAGAAAGUGGGGGAUCUUCGGACCUCACGCUAUCAGAUGAGCCUAGGUCGGAUUAGCUAGUUGGUGGGGUAAAGGCCUACCAAGGCGACGAUCCGUAACUGGUCUGAGAGGAUGAUCAGUCACACUGGAACUGAGACACGGUCCAGACUCCUACGGGAGGCAGCAGUGGGGAAUAUUGGACAAUGGGCGAAAGCGUGAUCCAGCCAUGCCGCGUGUGUGAAGAAGGUCUUCGGAUUGUAAAGCACUUUAAGUUGGGAGGAAGGGCAGUAAGUUAAUACCUUGCUGUUUCGACGUUACCAACAGAAUAAGCACCGGCUAACUUCGUG